rnacentral:rRNA from 1 species
UACGUAGGGGGCGAGCGUUGUCCGGAUUUAUUGGGCGUAAAGAGCUCGUAGGCGGUUUGGCAAGUCGGGUGUGAAAACUCCGGGCUCAACUCGGAGACGCCACUCGAUACUGCCAUGACUCGAGUCCGGUAGGGGAGUGCGGAAUUCCUGGUGUAGCGGUGAAAUGCGCAGAUAUCAGGAGGAACACCGGUGGCGAAGGCGGCACUCUGGGCCGUAACUGACGCUGAGGAGCGAAAGCAUGGGGAGCGAACAGG